UACCUAAGCCUACAAUAUUGUUAUAUGUCAAUCAUUUGCAGUAUAUUGACAAAUUUAACAGCAUUUUUAUAACUCGAAUUUUUGAUAAGUCAAAAUUAUUUUAACAUCCCUUGAUGAUUUGAAUUAUCGAGGUUCGACUGUAUAUAUAUCAAAUGUUCUUCCAGGAGGUUGAUUACCAUGAAAUGUCACCAGGUCUGUAUUUGUACUUCCUUGCACAUUUUUUUGUACAAAGAAGAAAGUCAGUCCUUGAUGAUAUCACUUCAGGUAAUUCUCUGUCUAUGCUGUCUUCUCUUUCCUUCAAUCAUUCCUUCUAGUAAUCUUUUCUGAAAGGUGUUAUGCCUUAAUAAAUGUCCUAAGUAUCUUGUCUUUCUGCUUUUAAUAGCAGUAAGAGAUUUCUUCUUUUGACUAUCAUUCUCAAAAUCUCUCAUUUGUUCUUUUUCCAUGAAAUUCUCAAUACUCUCUUCAAUAUUCAUAUUUCAAAAGUUUUCAGAUUCUCUAUUGUUUUUUUCAUCAGAAUCCAAAUCUCUGGCCAAAAAGAUAACAGAGAAAGAAGAAUUGACCAUGCAUAGCACUUUGUUAAGUCUUAUUAAUUUCAUGCUUAAUUCUGUAGAAAUCAGAAUGUUUUUCAUGAAAGUGAAAACUAAUCUGGUUAUUUCUAUUCUUUUUUUAUUUCUAGUCCUCUUUCAUAAGCAAUAAUCAGGUGUCACAAGAACUUGAAUGAAUUUCUCAAAUUGUUGUAGAGGAGUUCCAUUUAUUUUGAUAUAAUUCAUGAUAUAGUUCAUGUUGUUGAUUUUUUUGAUACUAUCAUUGUUUUUGUUUUACUGAGAUUGAAGUAUAAGUCAUACAUCUCAUUAACAACUUGUACUUUUUCAACCAACGUGGCAAGAUUGUUUAUAUUUAUUCCAGUAAUUGACACUUCUUUCAGGUUUUCAAUUUCUUGGAAUAUGGCCUCUGCAACAUGUUGAAUAGGAGAUGGGUCAAGAUGAUACAUUCUUGUCAAACCUGUUUUUUUCAACAGUGAAUUCUUUGAACAUACUCCUAUUAUAUCUGAUGGAGACAGUCUGUUUCCAAUAGAGAUUUGGAGUUAAUAUCAUAUCAUUGUCAUGCCAGUCCUAUUCUCAUAAAAUUUUUUAUCAAUUUUUAUUGUUUUAUACAAAUCAAACACUUUGAAAUAAUCAAUAAAACAGAUUAAAUCACCUCCUGCUUUUCUAGAUAUAUUUAAAACCAUUCUUAAAUUAAAGAUAGUUUCCCUUGUUCCAUAGUUUUCUUUAAAUCCUACCUGUUAGUCACUUAUGAUGAUUGUUAAUUUUUAUUUUGUUUCUUUCCAGAAUAAUACUUAAAAGGAGUUUGAUAAAAUGGUU
rnacentral:lncRNA from 1 species